GGCCUGCCCACUGAGGAUUUAAAUGGCCGCGGUAUUUUGACCGUGCAAAGGUAGCAUAAUAAUUAGUUUUUUAAUUGAAAGCUGGAAUGAAAGGUUGGAUGAGAAAAUAGCUGUCUCUGUUUAAAUUAAUUAAAAUUUUAUUUUUAAGUAAAAAAGCUUAAAUAGAAAUGGAAGACGAGAAGACCCUAUAGAGUUUUAAUUUAGUUGGGGUGAUUGAAAAAUUUAAUAAACUUUUUUUAUAUUUAACCAUUAAUUUAUGAGUAAUUGAUCCUUAAAUUAAGAUUAAAAGAAAAAAUUACCUUAGGGAUAACAGCGUAAUUUUUUUAGAGAGUUCAAAUCGAAAAAAAAGAUUGCGACCUCGAUGUUGGAUUAAAAUUAAAUUUUGGUGUAGAAGCUAA
rnacentral:rRNA from 1 species